GUGACGUUCUUGCGUAUCUGGGCUCGGCUCUGCCGCUCGUGCUCGGGCUCUGCCGCCACGUCCAGGGCCUGCUCAUACUGGGGCAGGCAGGGGGCACAGCAAGCUGUCAGCAGGGCAGGAGGCCGGCAGGAGGCCAGCAUGUGCCCACCACUCCCGGGGUGCAGUUACGCGCUGGAUGCUGUGUGAUGUGGGCACUGACCCGUGACACUGAGCUGUUUCUUCAUGGGCAAAACAGGCCUGCACUCACCUCAUUCAGCACAGUGACCAGGGCCAGGGAGUACUCGAUGACAUGUUGGGGGUCAGCCUGCCGCAGCAGCCCCGGGAGCACACUGGCCGUGAGUCCAUGCAGCCAGACUGUAAGCCCCGUUGUGCUACCGUUGGGCUCUGGGAGGGCGAUGGCCAGAGACCUGCGAGUGGAGGGGGGUGGGUGAGCAGGUGGCAGUCUCAGGGGCGCCCCCCCACGGCCUGGCUCACCUGUUGAGGGCGACCACAGCGGCUCCCAGCUGGUCCUGCACCACCACGGCCAGGCCCACCUCGAAGUGUGGCCCGAAACCCGGGGGCAGCACGGCUCCGUAGCUGGAGAGACUGCCCUUGUAGACACAGAACUCCUCGCAGUGGCCUUGGCGACAGCGCUGCAGCAGCAGGGCAUACAGCAGGGGGGCGCCAGCAUCCUCCGCGUCAUGCCAGCCUGAGGGACCCCACAGCAUCACAGAAGGGCUCCGCAGCGUCACAGUCGGGGGAUCCCACCGCGCCCCCCACGCAGGCUUGCACUCACCUGUGCAUUCGAAGUGCACCUUGGUGGUGAGGGCGUGCACGUUACCUAGCGGGAAGAGGCGGCACGAGCCCCCCAACGGUGGGCGGUUGGGGGACAGGCGGAUGGAGGCACAGCCCUCCUCUUCGCCAGAUUGGCCCAGCACUGUGAGCGUGAAGGUGUAUCCCUCGCCAUCCCGCAGCACGCCCCGCCGCAGCACCAGUCGCAUGCCUGCGCUGCCCGUGGAGGUGGUGGUCUCAUCCAGCACCAGCGUCUUGUUACUGAAGGACACGCACUCCAAGGACACAAUGGGCACCCG